AUGCAGUUCGCCACAGGGGCGAUGAGCUCUCUCCUCCCCAAGCUGGGGAAGCUGCUCAAGGAGGAGUACGACCUGCAGAAGCGUUUGAAGAAGGGGAUCAGGGACCUGAAGGAUGAGCUCCUGGUCAUAGAAGUUGCGCUCCUGAAGGUGUCCGACGUGCCACUAGACAAGCUUGAUCCGCUGGUCAAGAUUUGGGCCAACGAUGUCAGGGAGCUGUCCUAUGCCAUCGAGGAUAGCCUUGACUCCUUCAUGGUGCGUGUUGAAGGUGUUGAACCUACCGAGCCACACACCUUCUUCAGGUUCAUCAAGAAGACCUGCAAGAAGGCCAGCAAGCUCAAGAUUCGUCGCAAAAUAGCCAACGACAUCAAAGACGUCAAGAUCCAAGUUAAGGAGGUGAAAGAGCGGUAUGACAGAUACAAAGAUGUUAUUGGUAAUACUAAUGCCAAAAUGGAAGUCGAUCCACGUCUCUUGGCCAUGUACAGCAAAGUAUCUGACCUUGUUGGCAUUGAAAAGUCAAUGGAUGAGCUAACAGAGAGGUUGUCUAAGGGCGAUGA
rnacentral:rRNA from 1 species